CCAACAGGGAUUGCCUUAGUAACGGCGAGUGAAGCGGCAAAAGCUCAAAUUUGAAAUCUGGCACCUUUGGUGUCCGAGUUGUACUUUGGAGAGGCAUCUUCUGGAGGGGCCCAGCCUAUGUGCCUUGGAACAGGACGUCAUAGAGGGUGAGAAUCCCGUCCUUGGCUGGAUGUUCCCUCCUGUAAGUAGUGUCUUCUACGAGUCGAGUUGUUUGGGAAUGCAGCUCAAAAUGGGUGGUAAAUUUCAUCUAAAGCUAAAUAUUGGCGAGAGACCGAUAGCGCACAAGUAGAGUGAUCGAAAGAUGAAAAGCACUUUGAAAAUAGAGUCAAAAAGUACGUGAAAUUGUUGAAAGGGAAGCGCUUGAGACCAGACUCAGCCUUUGGCAAACAACUAUCCUUCUGGAUGGUGCACUUGUCAUUGGUUGGGCCAGCAUCGGUUGGGACGGCAGGAUAAAGGCCCAGGGAAUGUGACUCCUUUAUGGAGUGUUAUAGACCCAGGCGGCAU
rnacentral:rRNA from 1 species